rnacentral:rRNA from 1 species
UGCAAGUCGAGCGGAGAGAGGUAGCUUGUUACUGAUCUUAGCGGCGGACGGGUGAGUAAUGCUUAGGUAUCUGCCUAUUAGUGGGGGACAACAUUUCGAAAGGAAUGCUAAUACCGCAUACGUCCUACGGGAGAAAGCAGGGGAUCUUCGGACCUUGCGCUAAUAGAUGAGCCUAAGUCGGAUUAGCUAGUUGGUGGGGUAAAGGCCUACCAAGGCGACGAUCUGUAGCGGGUCUGAGAGGGUGAUCCGCCACACUGGGACUGAGACACGGCCCAGACUCCUACGGGAGGCAGCAGUGGGGAAUAUUGGACAAUGGGCGCAAGCCUGAUCCAGCCAUGCCGCGUGUGUGAAGAAGGCCUUAUGGUUGUAAAGCACUUUAAGCGAGGAGGAGGCUACUUUAGUUAAUACCCAGAGAUAGUGGACGUUACUCGCAGAAUAAGCACCGGCUAACUCUGUGCCAGCAGCCGCGGUAAUACAGAGGGUGCAAGCGUUAAUCGGAUUUACUGGGCGUAAAGCGCGCGUAGGCGGCUAAUUAAGUCAAAUGUGAAAUCCCCGAGCUUAACUUGGGAAUUGCAUUCGAUACUGGUUAGCUAGAGUGUGGGAGAGGAUGGUAGAAUUCCAGGUGUAGCGGUGAAAUGCGUAGAGAUCUGGAGGAAUACCGAUGGCGAAGGCAGCCAUCUGGCCUAACACUGACGCUGAGGUGCGAAAGCAUGGGGAGCAAACAGGAUUAGAUACCCUGGUAGUCCAUGCCGUAAACGAUGUCUACUAGCCGUUGGGGCCUUUGAGGCUUUAGUGGCGCAGCUAACGCGAUAAGUAGACCGCCUGGGGAGUACGGUCGCAAGACUAAAACUCAAAUGAAUUGACGGGGGCCCGCACAAGCGGUGGAGCAUGUGGUUUAAUUCGAUGCAACGCGAAGAACCUUACCUGGCCUUGACAUA